GACGAACGCUGGCGGCGUGCUUAACACAUGCAAGUCGAACGAUGAAGCUGGAGCUUGCUCCAGUGGAUUAGUGGCGAACGGGUGAGUAACACGUGAGCAAUCUGCCCUUGACUCUGGGAUAACUGCGGGAAACUGUAGCUAAUACCGGAUAUGACACCUUGGGGCAUCCCGAGGUGUGGAAAGAAUUUCGGUCAAGGAUGAGCUCGCGGCCUAUCAGCUUGUUGGUGAGGUAACGGCUCACCAAGGCGACGACGGGUAGCCGGCCUGAGAGGGUGACCGGCCACACUGGAACUGAGACACGGUCCAGACUCCUACGGGAGGCAGCAGUGGGGAAUAUUGCACAAUGGGCGAAAGCCUGAUGCAGCAACGCCGCGUGAGGGAUGACGGCCUUCGGGUUGUAAACCUCUUUUAGCAGGGAAGAAGCGAAAGUGACGGUACCUGCAGAAAAAGCACCGGCUAACUACGUGCCAGCCGCCGCCGUAA
rnacentral:rRNA from 1 species